rnacentral:rRNA from 1 species
GGGUUGUGAGGUUAAGCGACUAAGCGUACACGGUGGAUGCCCUGGCAGUCAGAGGCGAUGAAGGACGUGCUAAUCUGCGAUAAGCGCCGGUAAGGUGAUAUGAACCGUUAUAACCGGCGAUUUCCGAAUGGGGAAACCCAGUGUGAUUCGUCACACUAUCAUUAACUGAAUCCAUAGGUUAAUGAGGCGAACCGGGGGAACUGAAACAUCUAAGUACCCCGAGGAAAAGAAAUCAACCGAGAUUCCCCCAGUAGCGGCGAGCGAACGGGGAGGAGCCCAGAGCCUGAAUCAGCAUGUGUGUUAGUGGAAGCGUCUGGAAAGGCGCGCGAUACAGGGUGACAGCCCCGUACACAAAAGCGCAUGUGCUGUGAGCUCGAUGAGUAGGGCGGGACACGUGGUAUCCUGUCUGAAUAUGGGGGGACCAUCCUCCAAGGCUAAAUACUCCUGACUGACCGAUAGUGAACCAGUACCGUGAGGGAAAGGCGAAAAGAACCCCGGCGAGGGGAGUGAAAAAGAACCUGAAACCGUGUACGUACAAGCAGUGGGAGCACCCUUUGGGGUGUGACUGCGUACCUUUUGUAUAAUGGGUCAGCGACUUAUAUUCUGUAGCAAGGUUAACCGAAUAGGGGAGCCGGAGGGAAACCGAGUCUUAAUUGGGCGUUAAGUUGCAG